rnacentral:rRNA from 1 species
AGUGAACGCUGGCGGCAGGCCUAACACAUGCAAGUCGAACGGAAGCACAGUAAGAGCUCGCUCUUAAGGGUGGCGAGUGGCGGACGGGUGAGGCAUACAUAGGAAUCUACUUUGUCGUGGGUGAUAACGUAGGAAAACUUACGCUAAUACAGAAUAUGACCUACGGGUGAAAUCAGGAGAUCAUCGGACCUUUCGCGAUAGAAAUAGCCGAUGUCGGAUUAGCUAGUUGGUGAGGUAACGGCCCACCAAGGCGACGAUACGUAGCUGGUCUGAGAGGAUGAUCGGCCACACUGGAACUGAGACACGGUCCAGACUCCUACGGGAGGCAGCAGUGGGGAAUAUUGGACAAUGGGCGCAAGCUUGACCGAGCAACACCGCGUGAGUGAUGAAGGUCUUCGGAUUGUAAAGCCCUUUUGUUGGGAAAGAAAAGCAGCGGGUUAAUCCCUGGCUGUUCUGACGGUACCUAAAGAGAAAGCCCCGGCUAACUUCGUG